GAGGUCUGAAAUCCGGUGGAACCGGAGG
rnacentral:piRNA from 1 species